rnacentral:rRNA from 1 species
AUACGUAGGGUGCGAGCGUUAAUCGGAAUUACUGGGCGUAAAGCGUGCGCAGGCGGUUUUUUAAGACAGUGGUGAAAUCCCCGGGCUCAACCUGGGAACUGCCAUUGUGACUGCAAGGCUGGAGUGCGGCAGAGGGGGAUGGAAUUCCGCGUGUAGCAGUGAAAUGCGUAGAUAUGCGGAGGAACACCGAUGGCGAAGGCAAUCCCCUGGGCCUGCACUGACGCUCAUGCACGAAAGCGCGGGGAGCAAACAGGAUUAGAUACCCUGGUAGUCCACGCCCUAAACGAUGUCAACUGGUUGUUGGGAAUUUAUUUUCUCAGUAACGAAGCUAACGCGUGAAGUUGACCGCCUGGGGAGUACGGCCGCAAGGUUAAAACUCAAAUGAAUUGACGGGG